rnacentral:SRP_RNA from 1 species
UGCCGGUCCCCCCGCAACGAGAAGUCGUGAAUCCCGCCAGGCCCGGAAGGGAGCAACGGUAGCGGCUGUAUCGGGUGCCGGGGUGUGGCUGGUGGAG